rnacentral:rRNA from 1 species
GGGUUGUGAGGUUAAGCGACUAAGCGUACACGGUGGAUGCCCUGGCAGUCAGAGGCGAUGAAGGGCGUGCUAAUCUGCGAUAAGCGCCGGUAAGGUGAUAUGAACCGUUAUAACCGGCGAUACCCGAAUGGGGAAACCCAGUGUGAUUCGUCACACUAUCAUUAACUGAAUCCAUAGGUUAAUGAGGCGAACCGGGGGAACUGAAACAUCUAAGUACCCCGAGGAAAAGAAAUCAACCGAGAUUCCCCCAGUAGCGGCGAGCGAACGGGGAGGAGCCCAGAGCCUGAAUCAGCAUGUGUGUUAGUGGAAGCGUCUGGAAAGGCGCGCGAUACAGGGUGACAGCCCCGUACACAAAAAGCGCAUGUGCUGUGAGCUCGAUGAGUAGGGCGGGACACGUGGUAUCCUGUCUGAAUAUGGGGGGACCAUCCUCCAAGGCUAAAUACUCCUGACUGACCGAUAGUGAACCAGUACCGUGAGGGAAAGGCGAAAAGAACCCCGGCGAGGGGAGUGAAAAAGAACCUGAAACCGUGUACGUACAAGCAGUGGGAGCACCCUUCGGGGUGUGACUGCGUACCUUUUGUAUAAUGGGUCAGCGACUUAUAUUCUGUAGCAAGGUUAACCGUAUAGGGGAGCCGGAGGGAAACCGAGUCUUAAUUGGGCGUUAAGUUGCAGGGUAUAGACCCGAAACCCGGUGAUCUAGCCAUGGGCAGGUUGAAGGUUGGGUAACACUAACUGGAGGACCGAACCGACUAAUGUUGAAAAAUUAGCGGAUGACCUGUGGCUGGGGGUGAAAGGCCAAUCAAACCGGGAGAUAGCUGGUUCUCCCCGAAAGCUAUUUAGGUGGCGCCUCGUGAAUUCAUCUCCGGGGUAGAGCACUGUUUCGGCUAGGGGCCAUCCCGGCUUACCAACCCGAUGCAAACUGCGAAUACCGGAGAAUGUUAUCACGGGAGACACACGGCGGGUGCUAACGUCCGUCGUGAAGAGGGAAAACAACCCAGACCGCCAGCUAAGGUCCCAAAGUCAUGGUUAAGUGGGAAACGAUGUGGGAAGGCCCAGACAGCCGGGGAUGUUGGCUUAGAAGCAGCCAUCAUUUAAAAGAAAGCGUAAUAGCUCACUGGUCGAGUCGGCCUGCGCGGAAGAUGUAACGGGGCUAAACCAUGCACCGAAGUUGCGGCAGCGAACGUAUCACCCAAGACAACUUUACGGAGUUGACGAUUGACGGAGCGAAGCGACGUCAAAGCGUUCAUUAAAGUCGAGUUGGCUUAGGGAUACGUUCGUUGGGUAGGAGAGCGUUCUGUAAGCCUGUGAAGGUGUGUCGUGAGGCAUGCUGGAGGUAUCAGAAGUGCGAAUGCUGACAUAAGUAACGAUAAAGCGGGUGAAAAGCCCGCUCGCCGGAAGACCAAGGGUUCCUGUCCAACGUUAAUCGGGGCAGGGUGAGUCGACCCCUAAGGCGAGGCCGAAAGGCGUAGUCGAUGGGAAACGGGUUAAUAUUCCCGUACUUGGUGUUACUGCGAAGGGGACGGAGAAGGCUAUGUUGGCCGGGCGACGGUUGUCCCGGUUUAAGCGUGUAGGUGUGUGUUCCAGGUAAAUCCGGUUCACUUUAACACUGAGGCGUGACGACGAGGCACUACGGUGCUGAAGCAACAAAUGCCCUGCUUCCAGGAAAAGCCUCUAAGCAUCAGGUAACACGAAAUCGUACCCCAAACCGACACAGGUGGUCAGGUAGAGAAUACCAAGGCGCUUGAGAGAACUCGGGUGAAGGAACUAGGCAAAAUGGUGCCGUAACUUCGGGAGAAGGCACGCUGACACGUAGGUGAAGUGAUUUACUCAUGGAGCUGAAGUCAGUCGAAGAUACCAGCUGGCUGCAACUGUUUAUUAAAAACACAGCACUGUGCAAACACGAAAGUGGACGUAUACGGUGUGACGCCUGCCCGGUGCCGGAAGGUUAAUUGAUGGGGUCAGCGUAAGCGAAGCUCCUGAUCGAAGCCCCGGUAAACGGCGGCCGUAACUAUAACGGUCCUAAGGUAGCGAAAUUCCUUGUCGGGUAAGUUCCGACCUGCACGAAUGGCGUAAUGAUGGCCAGGCUGUCUCCACCCGAGACUCAGUGAAAUUGAACUCGCUGUGAAGAUGCAGUGUACCCGCGGCAAGACGGAAAGACCCCGUGAACCUUUACUAUAGCUUGACACUGAACAUUGAGCCUUGAUGUGUAGGAUAGGUGGGAGGCUUUGAAGUGUGGACGCCAGUCUGCAUGGAGCCGACCUUGAAAUACCACCCUUUAAUGUUUGAUGUUCUAACGUGGACCCGUAAUCCGGGUUGCGGACAGUGUCUGGUGGGUAGUUUGACUGGGGCGGUCUCCUCCUAAAGAGUAACGGAGGAGCACGAAGGUUGGCUAAUGCUGGUCGGACAUCAGGAGGUUAGUGCAAUGGCAUAAGCCAGCUUGACUGCGAGCGUGACGGCGCGAGCAGGUGCGAAAGCAGGUCAUAGUGAUCCGGUGGUUCUGAAUGGAAGGGCCAUCGCUCAACGGAUAAAAAGGUACUCCGGGGAUAACAGGCUGAUACCGCCCAAGAGUUCAUAUCGACGGCGGUGUUUGGCACCUCGAUGUCGGCUCAUCACAUCCUGGGGCUGAAGUAGGUCCCAAGGGUAUGGCUGUUCGCCAUUUAAAGUGGUACGCGAGCUGGGUUUAGAACGUCGUGAGACAGUUCGGUCCCCUAUCGGCCGUGGGCGCUGGAGAACUGAGGGCGGCUGCUCCUAGUACGAGAGGACCGGAGUGGACGCAUCACUGGUGUUCGGGUUGUCAUGCCAAUGGCACUGCCCGGUAGCUAAAUGCGGAAGAGAUAAGUGCUGAAAGCAUCUAAGCACGAAACUUGCCCCGAGAUGAGUUCUCCCUGAGACUUAGAGUCUCCUGAAGGAACGUUGAAGACGACGACGUUGAUAGGCCGGGUGUGUAAGCGCAGCGAUGCGUUGAGCUAACCGGUACUAAUGAACCGUGAGGCUUAACCUUACAACGCCGAAG